CUGUGAAUAUGCUUACUGUCCUGGUUCUGUGAUAGCCAGGGCAGGCCAAACAGUCGCUAUAUUAAGACCAUGCAUGUGUCCCCAGGCCGAGUUCUUUCCCUGAGCCUGGUUUUAUAAAUGCAGGUGAUAAGU
rnacentral:snoRNA from 1 species